rnacentral:rRNA from 1 species
AGUGAACGCUGGCGGUAGGCCUAACACAUGCAAGUCGAACGGCAGCACAGUAAGAGCUUGCUCUUACGGGUGGCGAGUGGCGGACGGGUGAGGAAUACAUCGGAAUCUACCUUUUCGUGGGGGAUAACGUAGGGAAACUUACGCUAAUACCGCAUACGACCUACGGGUGAAAGCAGGGGAUCUUCGGACCUUGCGCGAUUGAAUGAGCCGAUGUCGGAUUAGCUAGUUGGCGGGGUAAAGGCCCACCAAGGCGACGAUCCGUAGCUGGUCUGAGAGGAUGAUCAGCCACACUGGAACUGAGACGCGGUCCAGACUCCUACGGGAGGCAGCAGUGGGGAAUAUUGGACAAUGGGCGCAAGCCUGAUCCAGCCAUACCGCGUGGGUGAAGAAGGCCUUCGGGUUGUAAAGCCCUUUUGUUGGGAAAGAAAAGCAGCAGGUUAAUACCCCGCUGUUCUGACGGUACCCAAAGAAUAAGCACCGGCUAACUUCGUG